rnacentral:lncRNA from 1 species
GGGAGGGCUCACCUGGGGCUUCCCACCAGCUCCUUUCCAGCUCUGCUCCAUCCCUCUCUCUGUGGACUCCUUCCCUGGUGUUAAACUAAAACCAGGUAGCUAUGCCGCCUUAGUUUAAGCGUAACUUAAAGCCCUUCUUGGGGUGGGUUCAUCCCUUACAAUGUGCUGAAACACAGUGGAGGUGUCUAAUCCCCCCGAAGGGUUUGUGCUGUGUUUCUUCUUGCACUCCUGCGGCCGGUCCCGCGUAGUCCUACUGCGUGGWGCAAGCUGCGCUGUGCCGUACGUGGCACUGGAGCAAACUAUCUGCUGSAGCUUCAGCAGCCCUCCCUGCUGCAAUGGUAGGACUGGGACCAGCCCAGUGUGGAGCGGGGAAGGGGAAGGGCAGGGCCUAGCAGCGAGCACCAGACUGCCGUGAACUGCCAAACACCGAAUGUUGCCUAGUCUGCAGUGGCCUGGAAAGGGGCUGUCCCCAAGGCUGACUACCCCCGAGGCCGAGUGAACGGCCUCCCGUGCAGCCUGCAGCAGAAAUGCUCUUCUUUCCUCCCCUCAGGCAGUGCCCUCUUCCUCGGUCUGUGCCAAGGAAGGUCUGCUAAUGCUCCCGUCAGCCGGAAAGCUUCACGCAGCCUCUUCCCGGCGCUCCCUCGUCUCAGUAGCUCUGCCUUGCAUUUCCAGGCUUCACUUCAUGGAAUUGGAAAUUUCUGUCGUUACAAGAAACUAGUAUGAAAUGAGACCGCCAAGGUCUGCGUAGGGUCAAUGGGACUACCCACGCAGCCUCACGUGGAGAAUGAAGACAACUCUACUGUUUGUUCUGAUGAAGGGCCAAAUCUUGCUUUUCUUAUAACACGAAUUAAUCCCUGAUGAUGUGCAAUUCGGGUUAGUAAGAGCACUAAACAAUUCUCCUGUGUAUCAAGCAAAUCAGCCUUUCCUUCUCUAAACAGCAGUUUGUACAGAUGUGUAAACAGAAAAUGUUCUUUUGCUUCUCAAGGGAUCUAUUGUUUGGUGGAACAAUAAUAAUAUUUCCAGAUGUAUUUCAGCAUUGGAGCAUGUGUAUUUCUGCGCCGAUGUGCUUUGCUUACAGGAACACAAGACCCCUCAGCAAGUGCCAGGAAAGGCUGACUCACUGUUUAGGACUCGUCGGUCAGAGCCAAGAGGAGGUGCUGCGAGUCUCGGGCCAGCAGAACGGCGGUAAUGGAUGCUGGGCCAGGAGUACUUUUUGGAGGCAAUGAAAAGCUGGUAACUGGUGGGAUAUUGCUGGUAAGGAUCYGCAUAUGACGAGUCCUGUAUCAGGSGAACGGCUUCGGUAACAGAAACCUGAUGUCCGAAUCUGCAUUUUGAGACCUGGAUGCCGUGAGGACCUGCGCAGCAACAGCACAGCGCGGAACGAGUGCGCCCAGGCUGUGACCACCCUCUCCUCCUGCUGACUAACRGAAGGUAGGCUUGGCAGGGGGUGGCAGGAGUAGUCAGUCCAGGUAYUGGGGGGAAUAUCAGGAGAUCUGCGCGUCUGACCUCUGCAGACGGAGCAGGAGGAGCUGGCUGCACGCUGGGUGCUGCGUCCACAUGCAGCCUGCGCUCCUYAGUGACCAGCCCGCCGCGGGAUGCGGGAUGCGGCGGCGAUGAGGAGGUGAAACGUGUGCCAGGCGUUCCCCGAGGACCAGGAGUCCUUCAGACUUUAAACUGUUUUGGAAACAUUCGUAAGUGUCACAUAAAUCUGCAUUUUCUGACUCGAUGGCAGUCAGGAAGCAGAAGGACUCUGGGAAAGGACCGAUGGAAAUAGCCCGUCACUACUGACUACUGGGUACUUCAUUAAAGAAAACCUUCAUCAGUAGGCAGACUAAAGGUAACACGCAAUAUUGGAUGUUUCUUCCCAAGUGUUAACUGAUCAGCCCAUUGGUGCCUUUAAGGGAAAGCCAGCCCUCCAACAGGUUUUUGGAUUUUUUUUUGGUUUUUUGGGGUUUUUUUUUACCAUUUCUGUCCUUACUCUUGUAAGGCCUUACAAAAGUCUCGAAUUGCCAUCCUUUUCAGCCAGCUUGGCUAGGCAUUUAAGACUAAUUCUUUAAAAUAAAAUAGAGAUUAGAGAUAAAGCA